UACGUAGGGGGCAAGCGUUGUCCGGAUUUAUUGGGCGUAAAGAGCGUGUAGGCGGUUGGAUAGGUCUGCUGUGAAAACUCCAGGCUCAACCUGGAGACGUCGGUGGAAACCAUCUAACUAGAGUCCGGAAGAGGAGAGUGGAAUUCCUGGUGUAGCGGUGAAAUGCGCAGAUAUCAGGAAGAACACCUGUUGCGAAGGCGGCUCUCUGGGACGGUACUGACGCUGAGACGCGAAAGCGUGGGGAGCGAACAGG
rnacentral:rRNA from 1 species